rnacentral:rRNA from 1 species
GAUGAACGCUGGCGGCGUGCCUAAUACAUGCAAGUCGAGCGAACGGACGAGAAGCUUGCUUCUCUGAUGUUAGCGGCGGACGGGUGAGUAACACGUGGAUAACCUACCUAUAAGACUGGGAUAACUUCGGGAAACCGGAGCUAAUACCGGAUAAUAUUUUGAACCGCAUGGUUCAAAAGUGAAAGACGGUCUUGCUGUCACUUAUAGAUGGAUCCGCGCUGCAUUAGCUAGUUGGUAAGGUAACGGCUUACCAAGGCAACGAUGCAUAGCCGACCUGAGAGGGUGAUCGGCCACACUGGAACUGAGACACGGUCCAGACUCCUACGGGAGGCAGCAGUAGGGAAUCUUCCGCAAUGGGCGAAAGCCUGACGGAGCAACGCCGCGUGAGUGAUGAAGGUCUUCGGAUCGUAAAACUCUGUUAUUAGGGAAGAACAUAUGUGUAAGUAACUGUGCACAUCUUGACGGUACCUAAUCAGAAAGCCACGGCUAACUACGUGCCAGCAGCCGCGGUAAUACGUAGGUGGCAAGCGUUAUCCGGAAUUAUUGGGCGUAAAGCGCGCGUAGGCGGUUUUUUAAGUCUGAUGUGGAAGCCCACGGCUCAACCGUGGAGGGUCAUUGGAAACUGGAAAACUUGAGUGCAGAAGAGGAAAGUGGAAUUCCAUGUGUAGCGGUGAAAUGCGCAGAGAUAUGGAGGAACACCAGUGGCGAAGGCGACUUUCUGGUCUGUAACUGACGCUGAUGUGCGAAAGCGUGGGGAUCAAACAGGAUUAGAUACCCUGGUAGUCCACGCCGUAAACGAUGAGUGCUAAGUGUUAGGGGGUUUCCGCCCCUUAGUGCUGCAGCUAACGCAUUAAGCACUCCGCCUGGGGAGUACGACCGCAAGGUUGAAACUCAAAGGAAUUGACGGGGACCCGCACAAGCGGUGGAGCAUGUGGUUUAAUUCGAAGCAACGCGAAGAACCUUACCAAAUCUUGACAUCCUUUGACAACUCUAGAGAUAGAGCCUUCCCCUUCGGGGGGGCAAAGUGACAGGUGGUGCAUGGUUGUCGUCAGCUCGUGUCGUGAGAUGUUGGGUUAAGUCCCGCAACGAGCGCAACCCUUAAGCUUAGUUGCCAUCAUUAAGUUGGGCACUCUAAGUUGACUGCCGGUGACAAACCGGAGGAAGGUGGGGAUGACGUCAAAUCAUCAUGCCCCUUAUGAUUUGGGCUACACACGUGCUACAAUGGACAAUACAAAGGGCAGCGAAACCGCGAGGUCAAGCAAAUCCCAUAAAGUUGUUCUCAGUUCGGAUUGUAGUCUGCAACUCGACUACAUGAAGCUGGAAUCGCUAGUAAUCGUAGAUCAGCAUGCUACGGUGAAUACGUUCCCGGGUCU